rnacentral:rRNA from 1 species
CCUACGGGGGGCAGCAGUGAGGAAUAUUGGUCAAUGGGCGGACGCCUGAACCAGCCAAGUCGCGUGAGGGAAGACUGCCCUAUGGGUUGUAAACCUCUUUUGUCAGGGAGCAACGCCGGCUACGUGUAGCCGGACUGAGAGUACCUGAAGAAAAAGCAUCGGCUAACUCCGUGCCAGCAGCCGCGGUAAUACGGAGGAUGCGAGCGUUAUCCGGAUUUAUUGGGUUUAAAGGGUGCGUAGGCGGAAUGCCAAGUCAGCGGGAAAAUCGCGGGGCUCAACCUCGCCCCGCCGUUGAAACUGGCGUUCUUGAGUGGGCGAGAAGUAUGCGGAAUGCGUGGUGUAGCGGUGAAAUGCAUAGAUAUCACGCAGAACUCCGAUUGCGAAGGCAGCAUACCGGCGCCCAACUGACGCUGAAGCACGAAAGCGUGGGUAUCGAACAGGAUUAGAUACCCGUGUAGUC